rnacentral:tRNA from 1 species
UGGCGGGUAGCCAAGUGGUUAAGGCACCAAACAUCCUUAUUCACCCCUUGCCCUUUGGGCCGAAGAAUCGAGGGUUAUCGUCUAUACAACGGGUAAUCGCGGGUUCGAAUCCCGCUCCGCCAC